CCUACGAGUGGCAGCAGUGAGGAAUAUUGGUCAAUGGACGAGAGUCUGAACCAGCCAAGUAGCGUGAAGGAUGACUGCCCUAUGGGUUGUAAACUUCUUUUAUAUUGGAAUAAAAUGUUCCACGUGUGGGAUUUUGUAUGUACCAUAUGAAUAAGGAUCGGCUAACUCCGUGCCAGCAGCCGCGGUAAUACGGAGGCACCGCGCGUUAUCAGGAUUUAUUGGGUUUAAAGGGAGCGUAGGUGGAUUGUUAAGUAAGUUGUGAAAGUUGGCGGAUCAACCGUAAAAUUGCAGUUGAAACUGGCAGUCGUGAGUACAGUAGAGGUGGGCGGAAUUCGUGGUGUAGCGGUGAAAUGCUUAGAUAUCACGAAGAACUCCGAUUGCGAAGGCAGCUCACUGGACUGCAACUGACACUGAGGCUCGAAAGUGUGGGUAUCAAACAGGAUUAGAUACCCCAGUAGUC
rnacentral:rRNA from 1 species